rnacentral:rRNA from 1 species
AUUGAACGCUGGCGGCAGGCCUAACACAUGCAAGUCGAACGGUAACAGGAAGAAGCUUGCUUCUUUGCUGACGAGUGGCGGACGGGUGAGUAAUGUCUGGGAAACUGCCUGAUGGAGGGGGAUAACUACUGGAAACGGUAGCUAAUACCGCAUAACGUCGCAAGACCAAAGAGGGGGACCUUCGGGCCUCUUGCCAUCGGAUGUGCCCAGAUGGGAUUAGCUAGUAGGUGGGGUAACGGCUCACCUAGGCGACGAUCCCUAGCUGGUCUGAGAGGAUGACCAGCCACACUGGAACUGAGACACGGUCCAGACUCCUACGGGAGGCAGCAGUGGGGAAUAUUGCACAAUGGGCGCAAGCCUGAUGCAGCCAUGCCGCGUGUAUGAAGAAGGCC